rnacentral:rRNA from 1 species
GACGAACGCUGGCGGCGUGCUUAACACAUGCGAGUCGAACGGAAAGGCCCUGCUUUUGUGGGGUGCUCGAGUGGCGAACGGGUGAGUAACACGUGAGUAACCUGCCCUUGACUUUGGGAUAACUUCAGGAAACUGGGGCUAAUACCGGAUAGGAGCUCCUGCUGCAUGGUGGGGGUUGGAAAGUUUCGGCGGUUGGGGAUGGACUCGCGGCUUAUCAGCUUGUUGGUGGGGUAGUGGCUUACCAAGGCUUUGACGGGUAGCCGGCCUGAGAGGGUGACCGGCCACAUUGGGACUGAGAUACGGCCCAGACUCCUACGGGAGGCAGCAGUGGGGAAUAUUGCACAAUGGGCGGAAGCCUGAUGAAGCAACGCCGCGUGCGGGAUGACGGCCUUCGGGUUGUAAAACGCUUUCGCCUGUGACGAAGCGUGAGUGACGGUAAUGGGUAAAGAAGCACCGGCUAACUACGUG